CCGCGGUACCCUAACCGUGCGAAGGUAGCAUAAUCACUUGUUCUUUAAAUGAGGACUUGUAUCAACGGCACUACGAGGGCCAUACUGUCUCCUUUUUCUAAUCAGUGAAACUGAUCUCCCCGUGAAGAAGCGGGGAUCAAAAUAUAAGACGAGAAGACCCCAUGGAGCUUUAAACUCACCACACACCUCUGUGAUGCUAUACCAUUAAACACAAGAAAUCUGUGUGCUAGUUUUAGGUUGGGGUGACCACGGAGUACAAUUUAACCUCCAUAACAAAUGGGCUAAUACCCUUAUCCACGAGACACAACUCUAAGAAUUACUAAACUAAUGCUUAUGACCCGAUAUUCGAUCAAUGAACCAAGUUACCCUGGGGAUAACAGCGCAAUCUACUUCAAGAGCCCCUAUCGACAAGUAGGUUUACGACCUCGAUGUUGGAUCAGGGUAUCCCGGUGGUGCAGCCGCUACCGAUGGUUCGUUUGUUCAACGAUUAAAACCCUACG
rnacentral:rRNA from 1 species